AUACUGAUGAAGAGUCCCAGUGAGUGAGGACGAAACAGCUGUCCAGUAC
rnacentral:hammerhead_ribozyme from 1 species